CCGCAGGUCCUGCAGCCCCAGGAGGUGAGAUCUGCAGGUUCCUUAGGUUCAGGACUCUCUUCUUUUUAAAGCUGAUGGUCCUUUCCAUCAAUGACCCACCAAGGAUGAAGAAGGACAGAGACCACAUGGCUGCGAGGAUAUUAGACCUCACCCUGGAGAUCAUCUCCUUGAUAACUGGAGAGGAUUACACAGUAGUGAAGAAGUCGUCUGGUGAGUGUGUG